rnacentral:rRNA from 1 species
AUUGAACGCUGGCGGCAGGCCUAACACAUGCAAGUCGAGCGGCAGCGGAAAGUAGCUUGCUACUUUGCCGGCGAGCGGCGGACGGGUGAGUAAUGUCUGGGAAACUGCCUGAUGGAGGGGGAUAACUACUGGAAACGGUAGCUAAUACCGCAUAACGUCGCAAGACCAAAGAGGGGGACCUUCGGGCCUCUUGCCAUCAGAUGUGCCCAGAUGGGAUUAGCUAGUAGGUGGGGUAACGGCUCACCUAGGCGACGAUCCCUAGCUGGUCUGACAGGAUGACCAGCCGCACAGGGACUGAGGCACGGUCCAGACUCCUACGGGAGGCAGCAUUGGAGAAUAUUGCACAAUGGGCGCAAGCCUGAUGCAGCCAUGCCGCGUGUAUGAAGAAGGCCUUCGGGUUGUAAAGUACUUUCAGCGGGGAGGAAGGCGUUGAGGUUAAUAACCUCAGCGAUUGACGUUACCCGCAGAAGAAGCACCGGCUAACUCCGUGCCAGCAGCCGCAGUAA